UAGCGAUUCCCGGGCUUCGUGGAAUUAAACCCGCGAACGUGUCGAGUGUUGUAAGCUGGAAAUACCAGCACUCGAGAACCGUGGCCCUUUGUAACGUGUUUACCUUUAAUAAAUUGAACCAGCCACCGAAAAGCGGAACGAGAGAUCCACCGAGGUCCGUUAAGGAAAUGUUCAAAGCAAUUGUAUUGGCAACUUUUAUCUGCUUGCGAAGGAAGCCCUUGAUACCGCACGCGAUACGACGAUCACAUUGAGCUGGAAGCAAUCUCGAAGCAGGCAAACGACGCCCACAUGCAAUUUCUUUGGAAGAUUCUCACGUUAUCGACGUCGUCAAAGACAUUCAGAUGCAGAAAUCUGAGGCGAAUUACCUUCCUGGACUGGAGUUUUCGAUGGAAGCUGGCCUCCAAGGUGGGUCUAGACAGCUGCUGUUGGAGAACCGCGGCCAGAUCUAAGUGAGCUUCUGCAUCUGAUUGCACCUGGCGC